rnacentral:lncRNA from 1 species
UCGAUCACAUGAAAGAAGACAUACUGGGGAGAAGCCGUACCAGUGCGGACAGUGUGGCAGAUCCUUCAGCAGGCACAGUUCCUUUAAGAGACAUCAGUCAGUUCAUGGAGAAAGCCCAUAUGAACAGUAUCUAAUUCCAUUAUCCCCAUUUCCUUCAAAGGAAUGAAAGAACAGAUUGGUAACAAACCCUUUGAAUGUAAACAAUGUAGCAAAUUAUCCCAUCCACAUAAAACAGGCAGAAACUCACGACAAGGGGGAACCUUUUAUCUGUAAACAGUGUGGGUAGCCUUCAGGGGUCACAGUGUCCUUCAAAGAAGGAAUUCUUGCUGGGCAAAGUUUAUGUUUGUUACCAAUGUUGUAAGUGUGGAUUGUCACAUUUCCUUUCAAAGAAGUAAGUUAAUUCAUGUUGGGCAAAUGCCCUACGAAUGUAUAAGAUAUGGUUAAUCUUUCAUUUAUCUCUAUUUGCCUUAAAAUCAUGAAAGAACUCAUAGUGGUGAAAAAGCCCCACAUGAAUAUAAACAAUGUGGAAAGCCUUCAGGUGUCACAGGUCCUUUCACUAGCAUGGAUGAAAUGUCAUGUUGGAGAGAAAAUGGGAAUGUAAGGUGUGUUAAGACCUUGAGAUAGCAUUGUUUGCCUAGAUUCCGAGAAUGAAUUCCAACUGGAAAAAUUUCCAAAUGGAAACAGCUGUGAAGCCUUCAUGGUCACAGUUGUUUAAGAUGCUCAUAGUGUUGGAAGGUGGGCAGUUCUGUGAGUGUAAGGAGCGUGGGAAUUUAAUGGUUACUAGGAGAUGGACAUUUCCUUUGCAGUGGCUUCCCAUGACUUGCCUGUACUCUUGUAAAUACCCCAAAUUAAACUCCACGGUUCCUCAAGCCCACUUGGGUAGAAUCAUUCUUGGUCCCUGUCAUUGAUGCACGGUCUGGGGAGAACAGACCUUCGUAAAUGUCUUCAGGGUUUUAAAGUUGUGUUUACAUCCGUCUGAAACAUCCAGCAGGGGUGAAGGCUGUGCCCUAAUGUGCUGUGCUUCUUUCUGUUUUGGAUGGGUGCUUCAGCUGUCAACUUGACACAAUCUGGUGUCACCUGGGAAAGGAGUCUCACUAGUGACCUGUCUGAGUUAGGUUCGCCUUCACACAGCUGUGAGGGAUUUUCUUACUAGGAUGAUUUGAGGUAGGAAGACCCAUCCUGAAUGCUGUCAGUGCUGUUUUAUGGACUGAAUUAAAAAGGACAGAAGUAGCUGAGCGCAAAGAUUCCUUGCUGUCUGCCUUGGGAUUUAUGCGGUGUCAAGCUCCUGCCACCGAGACUGGCCCAUAGUAAUGGAUUGUAACCUGAAACUAUGAGCUGAAAUAAACCCUUUUUUCCG